UUCAUUUGACUGCGCAUGUGCUGGUAGAAUUCCGGAACACGGAAGCAAAACAAACAUUUUGGCGCGAUGUUGACCAAGUUGAAGUUGUUUCAGUGAAACUGAGAAGAGAAGAAGACACGGAUAAAGGAAAACGUUUUUUAGCAGCUGGAAAGAAGCUGUGGCUUCAGACCACUGGCAUCGACUGAGGCUGAGCCGCUCACAGAGAUACUUUACUGUCAUGACUAGUACACGUGAGUACCAGAAGUACUGACAGAGCUAAUGGUGAUAAUGUAUGUGUGACUGUUCCAGUUCCUGUGGUGUGGAAGGCACAAGUCGUCUUCAGACCAAAUCAUGGUUCCUGUUGGACUGGAUCAUCAAGUCAGACCACUGACCUUGACAAGUCCUCAUCUUUAAGACAUUCAUAUUUCCACUGGUUGGUUUUAUUUGGACUCGGGAAUUAAAAAUUUUUUUCCAUCUCUAUAAACAUCUUUUUUUGGUUUGUAAUGUAUUUGGUAGAACUGAGGUUUUUCAACAGGUGGUCUGUGACCCCUAGAUGGUCCAUGAAGGUGCUGUAGUGGGAUGGUUUUGGACUCCAGUGCUGGACUGGAAAAUGGUUCAAACUGAGUUUCAUUUACAAUAAGGUCAGGCUGAGGAAGAAAACACCAGGAAGAGAUGACAGAGGGGAAGGGGUUGGGGGGGUGGCUUGGGAGGAGGUGGGACCCAGGUGGAAGCAGGAAGUGGAAGAAGCUCAGGGAGAAUUAGAACGAAGUGGAACAAAAGUCGAUAAAUUUAAUUCCCUGAAUUUUUUCCCAACAAAUUUAAAGUCUUCAGAAAAACAGCAAAUUGUAGCAGAAAUAAAUGAGGAAAGUUUUACGUCCAAGUCCAUAAUAAAAACAUUGUAUUAAUGAAUAACAACACAGAGUAAAACGAAAAAAAAAAAACCCACAAGUUUAUUAAUAAGAAAUUAAUUAAAUGUAAUAGGUGGGUGUGGCAGGAGGUGGUUGAAUAAAUGAUCGACUGAUUGGAUGACCUAAGUGUCAGACUAAGUGUUGUGUACAUGUGUAUACACACACACACAGGUUGGCUGACACCUCGGCUGGAGCAAAGACAGAAACCUCAGGUGUUGAUGUGGGAGGAAAUGUUUUUCUCUGACUUCUGGCACCGGGCUGACAACUGAUGACAUCUCGCUUUUCAUCUAAUGAUUCCCUCGACUUCAAAGUGAAAGUAGGGGAAUCCCACCACACACACAUGCACACACACAGAUAUACACACACACAGACAGAGUGAGGUAUGAGAUGAUUACUGCUGUCGUUUCCUUCUGUAAAUAUCUUCCUCAGAUGUUGCACUUCUUAAACACAGGCGUCUUUCUUUUCAUCCUGUUUUGGUCUGAUUUUGUGAAACAACAAUGUUUAACAACAGAUUAGUGUCAAAUACUGGACCGACACACAGUUUAACGUAAUGUUCGAUGAAGACGACUCCAAACAAAUGAACAAUUUGCGGCGUUUUAGUUUAAUUUUUAAAAUGUUUGGAUAUAAUUUGUAUCACUUCAAGUUCAACCCAAAUACCGUAUUUUCUGGACUGUAAGACCAGCUGUCGACCGACUGUCGGACCAGCCAAAAAAAAAAAUCUAUUUUAUCACAGUAUCUGUGUAGUUCAAGUCUACUGUAAGUACUGUAAUUUUUUAUUUAAAAAAAACAAACUUUAGGAGCGUUCAAAUGCAGCUGAUUGUGCUCUUGGCCAGGAUCUGCCCACGACAACCCCUGAUGACAGAGUUUACCCCUGUCUGCCAGAGGUGAAAACGUGAGUUCUGGUCAAACUGAUGCUGGCCACAGAGGCAGACACACCCCGAAAUAACCUCACACAGAAAAGGCACAGAUUCUCCCCAAAUAUCCCAUAGAUAGAAGAGAAAUUACAUGGUCCAAAAUAAGGAGCAGAUACAGACCAGAGGAGUCAUCUGCAGCUGUGCAAUCUGCUACCAAAAAAAAAGUAAGUGCCACAUUAAAGGCAGGAAUUUUUUAUGUUUUGUAGUUAGUAAACUUAUUUUGUUUUCUUGGAUUAAUGAGAGUUUUCGUAGAGUUUGUAGGAAUCAAAAUGUGUAA